ACUUCAGGGGGAGUAUGGUCACAAGGCUGAAACUUAAAGGAAUUGACGGAAGGGCACACCAGGAGUGGAGCCUGCGGCUUAAUUUGACUCAACACGGGAAAACUUACCAAGACCGAACAUAAGAAGGAAUGACAGAUUAAAGGAUCUUUCAUGAUUGUAUGGGGAGUGGUGCAUGGCCGUUCUUAGUUGGUGGAAUGAUUUGUCAGGUUAAUUCCGGUAACGAACGAGACUUAAACCUAUUAAUUAGUUGCAUUUGAAAUGGAAAUGCAGAUAAUCCUAUCAUUAUUAGAAAUAAUAAUACUACUUAAAGGGACACGUAUCAAUCUCUUUUUUAUACAGUAGAUAAUAAUUUGUGUUAUUUUUGAAUAAUAAAAAUUAUAUAGUGUAUCAAAAAGAAAAGAUAAAGGAAGCGUUAAGCAAUAACAGGUCUGUGAUGCCCUUAGACAUCUU
rnacentral:rRNA from 1 species